rnacentral:tRNA from 1 species
GGAGAGGUGGCCGAGUUGGCUGAAGGCGAUUGCCUGCUAAGCAAUUAAGGGGGAAAUCCUCCUUCGCGGGUUCGAAUCCCGCCCUCUCCGCCC